rnacentral:snRNA from 1 species
CUAGCAUGGCCCCUGCGCAAGUAUGACACGCAGAUUCGUGAAGCGUUCCAUAUUUAA